GACUGAGUUACAGUACAGACAGGUUACACCUGGACACUACAUGACUGAGUUACAGUACAGACAGGUUACACCUGGACACUACAUGACUGAGUUACAGUACAGACAGGUUACACCUGGACACUACAUGACUGAGUUACAGUACAGACAGGUUACACCUGGACACUACAUGACUGAGUUACUGUACAGACAGGUUACACCUGGACACUACAUGACUGAGUUACAGUACAGACAGGUUACACCUGGACACUACAUGACUGAGUUACAGUACAGACAGGUUACACCUGGACACUACAUGACUGAGUUACGGUACAGACAGGUUACACCUGGACACUACAUGACUGAGUUACAGUACAGACAGGUUACACCUGGACACUACAUGACUGAGUUACAGUACAGACAGGUUACACCUGGACACUACAUGACUGAGUUACAGUACAGACAGGUUACACCUGGACACUACAUGACUGAGUUACAGUACAGACAGGUUACACCUGGACACUACAUGACUGAGUUACAGUACAGGUUACACCUGGACACUACAUGACUGAGUUACAGUACAGACAGGUUACACCUGGACACUACAUGACUGAGUUACAGUACAAACACAACACUGGCCAGGUAAACACUAUAGCAGUUUAGUCCCAAAUGGCCCUCUGUUCCCUUGAUAGUGCGCUACUGUUGACCAGAUUGCUAUGGGUUAGUCCUACGGGUCCUGGUCUAUGGGUUAGUCCUACGGGUCCUGGUCUAUGGGUUAGUCCUACGGGUCCUGGUCUAUGGGUUAGUCCUACGGGUCCUGGUCUAUGGGUUAGUCCUACGGGUCCUGGUCUAUGGGUUAG